rnacentral:rRNA from 1 species
UACGUAGGGUGCGAGCGUUAAUCGGAAUUACUGGGCGUAAAGCGUGCGCAGGCGGUUGGUUAAGUCUGAUGUGAAAGCCCCGGGCUCAACCUGGGAAUGGCAUUGGAAACUGGCCAGCUGGAGUGUGGCAGAGGGGGGUGGAAUUCCGCGUGUAGCAGUGAAAUGCGUAGAGAUGCGGAGGAACACCGAUGGCGAAGGCAGCCCCCUGGGCCAACACUGACGCUCAUACACGACAGCAUGGGGAGCGAACGGG